UGGGGAAUAUUGCACAAUGGAGGGAACUCUGAUGCAGCGACGCCGCGUGAACGAAGAAGGCUUUCGAGUCGUAAAGUUCUUUUAUAUGGGAAGAUAAUGACGGUACCAUAAGAAAAAGCCCCGGCUAACUACGUGCCAGCAGCCGCGGUAAUACGUAGGGGGCUAGCGUUGUCCGGAAUCACUGGGCGUAAAGGGUUCGCAGGCGGAAAUACAAGUCAGGUGUAAAAGGCAGUAGCUUAACUACUGUAAGCAUUUGAAACUGCAUAUCUUGAGAAGAGUAGAGGUAAGUGGAAUUUUUAGUGUAGCGGUGAAAUGCGUAGAUAUUAAAAAGAAUACCGGUGGCGAAGGCGACUUACUGGGCUCAUUCUGACGCUGAGGAACGAAAGCGUGGGUAGCAAACAGG
rnacentral:rRNA from 2 species